rnacentral:rRNA from 1 species
ACGUAGGAGGCGAGCGUUGUCCGGAUUUACUGGGCGUAAAGCGCGCGCAGGCGGUCACGCAGGUCAUCUGUGAAAGCACUCGGCUCAACCGGGAUGAUGCGGGUGAAACCGCGUGACUGGAGGGUGGGAGAGGUCGGUGGAAUUCCCGGUGUAGUGGUGAAAUGCGUAGAUAUCGGGAGGAACACCCGUAGCGAAGGCGGCCGACUGGACCAUCCCUGACGCUGAGGCGCGAAGGCCAGGGGAGCGAACGGGAUUAGAUACCCCGGUAGUCCUGGCAGUAAACGAUGUCGACUGGUCGUCGGGGGGCUCGACCCCCUCGGCGGCGGAGCUAACGCGGGAAGUCGACCGCCUGGGGAGUACGGCCGCAAGGCUA